UUUGAAGACAUCGGCACCAAAAAAACAAAAUGCAAAUAAUGGUGUAUCUGAUCUUAAAACUGAAAAUGUUUUAAUAAUAUGGGUUACACUUCAGAAAUGGAAAUAUUGGUGAAUGCUACUUGCUUGUUAAUGGGUCAUUAUGUCCAGUAUUUGCAUAAUUGGCUCUUCAUAUGCAUGUGUUUUACAAUGGAGAAAACAUUUAUCAUUUUAUCAUUAUCACGUCUCUAUGUGUUUGGAUUCUAAUUCUUGUCCUUAAGUGUAGCUACUGUGGUUUUUUACUAGUUCAUUCUUACAAGGAUG
rnacentral:misc_RNA from 1 species